rnacentral:rRNA from 1 species
AAACUCAAAGGAAUUUGACGGGGGCCCGCACAAGCAGUGGAGUAUGUGGUUUAAUUCGAAGCAACGCGAAGAACCUUACCAAGGCUUGACAUAAUAGUGAAUACGGUAGAGAUAUCGUAGUCCUUCGGGACACUAUUACGAGGUGGUGCAUGGUUGUCGUCAGCUCGUGUCGUGAGAUGUUGGGUUAAGUCCCGCAACGAGCGCAACCCCUGUUGCUAGUUGAUAACAUUCAGUUGAUCACUCUAGCGAGACUGCCGGUGAUAAAUCGGAGGAAGGUGGGGACGACGUCAAAUCAUCAUGCCCCUUAUGUCUUGGGCUACACACGUACUACAAUGGCUAUAACAGAGGGAAGCUAAGCUGCAAAGUGGAGCAAAUCCCCAAAAAUAGUCCCAGUUCAGAUUGUGGGCUGCAACCCGCCCACAUGAAGUCGGAAUUGCUAGUAAUGGCAGGUCAGCAUACUGCCGUGAAUACGUUCCCGGGCCUUGUACACACCGCCCGUCACACCAUGAGAGUCUGCAACACCCGAAGUCGAUAGUCUAACCGUAAGGAGGACGUCGCCGAAGGUGGGGCCGAUGAUUGGGGUGAAGUCGUAACAAGGUAGCCGUAUCGGAAGGUGCGGCUGGAUCACCUCCUUUCUG